CGCUCUUCUCCCCCUCCCUCCCCCGCACCCAGCCCUCCUCGCACCCGCAAUCUUCUCUCGGCACCAAAACAAACCUGCUGGGCGUGUGACAUGUGGUUGUCUUUGCAGUUCAUUCGUGGCCUUUGUGGAAUAGGAGCACUGCUCGUAAGGUGACCGGCAGGAGCGGAAAGGAAAGACUCCUUAAGAUUUUCCGGAGAGGUCCGAGCUGGCUGCAUUUAGUUUCCAAGAAACUGGAUCGUGCUUUUACUGCUUUAAUUUUGGGAAAUUUUGAGGAGUCUUGCAUUUCUAAUCCUCCAGUCAUCGAUCCAUUUUGGCGUUGAAAAUUGGUGGGGAUAAAAGGCAACUGAUUUCCUGGCCUUUGACAAUCUAGUUAAGUAUCUGACUGACAGGAUGUUGGCACCAGCUUUGGAGGAAUCGAUCAGCCUCAACUCAAGCUCUCUGUCCUGAGACACAACAGCAGGAUGUGCCUUGGAGAAGGGUCUCAGGGUGGAGAAUUUGGAACUGAAUCAAAAUCUACACACUCAGGGAGCUGCGGUUCACAAGGUUGAGGUAAGAUG